CGGUUCCACCGGCGUCACCCUUAGAUAGAGUUAUUCAGUCGAUACAGAGAUGCGCUUAAAGUGGGGGGUGUGCUGCCCCUAUUGGGCUGGGCCCUUCCCCAUAAGGCCCCACCGUUGGGGCAUAAGCGCCCUCUUGCUACCCAUAUGCAAGGCGCCGUCUUAGCCUUGCCUUCCCAGGAUCGCUCCCACACCUGUCACGUUCGUGAUCGGCCUCCUCAACUGUGUAUCGAUCGAAAGGCAGGGCGGCAGAGCCCCCAACCGACGGGAGUUGUUACGUCCAGUAUGUCCCCCCCUCGAUUCCCGACAUGCUAUGAUA
rnacentral:lncRNA from 1 species